rnacentral:rRNA from 1 species
UUGACCUCAAAUCAGGUAGGAUUACCCGCUGAACUUAAGCAUAUCAAUAAGCGGAGGAAAAG